rnacentral:piRNA from 2 species
GGUCUCUUUUCCUUCAGGUUUUGCCAC